rnacentral:lncRNA from 1 species
GAAGGGAUUUUGUUAUAUUUGGAUUUUUAUACAAAAAUAAAGGAGUUUUGGAAGCUAAAACAAGAAUCAUAUAAAGGUUUAAGCUACACUCUAUACAGCUAGAUACCUAGUGUAUUCCCAGAUAGCAAAUCACGCCAAACAACUGCGUACCAAUGAAUCAAACUUGCGAUCCCGGAGUUGGAUAGCUUUGGAGUUGAAGUUCAAUGACAAGUUGCACUUGAUUGAUAAAUCCUCAAAACUUGGAUCUGGUGCCAUCAAACUUCUUAGAUAAGAUAAUUCUUGGUUCUCUAA